rnacentral:lncRNA from 1 species
AUUCCACCCGACUUGAUAUAUUGACUGAAAUCCUUUCUUCAAGAAUGCAUAGAAGACUGGAUGGGCAGGACAUAAAUUUGUCUUGGUGGAGAGACAUCAUGUUUGUGGCUCUUGAUGUGUGCCUGACUGUGGUACUUAGGUUUUAUUCAUCUAACAGGAAUUCUAAUUUGUCCUCCAUUCCCUUUAAAGAUAUCGCAAGAGACAUUAUUAAGUUAGGGAAACAAGAAUAGGUCUUAGAAGCAUAUAGGAAUCUUUGCCCAAGAAAGUUGAAAUUCACUAUGUGCCGCUAUCAGUGUUGCAGUGUUGAUCACUCUAUAAAAAUACGGUCACCCAGCUCGUAGUGAUACUAAAGGACAAUAGCAUUAAUUUUAUUUAGGGUAGAGGAAGUAUCUACUGCUUAAGGAUUUGUGCAAAGGCAAGGAUGUGGUGCUUCUUCUCAUCUUUCAGAAAGCUAUUAAAUUUCAUUGCACGAGAUGAUAAAUGUAUUCCAAAUGUUUGACUCAAAAUUACAGAGGUGUACUUGCUUGUAUUUUUCUUAUCAUUCUCAUUCCUUGACAUCUCGAGUUGGUUUGCCUCCGAGCUCAUGAUUUACCACUUUACAUGUCUUGAAAAUUGGGAACCCUGGAUCUUAAUUUGGUAGAGUAGCUUCAUUGCUUCUAUGAUAGUGUUACUUUUGCAUUGUUUGAAAAGAAUUCAGUGAAGCCAUAUAUCAACUUUUUUGGGAGUGUUUUAGGAGCUCUGGCUUCGUGGAUAUCUUAAUGAACUUUCUUCAUUGUUUAGUGAUAUCAAUUUACUCUGAGU